UAUAACUCACGCACACCCUCCCUCACAAUUCUAAUCCUCACGUUCACUCUCUGUUUCUUUCCCUCAUCACCGACUAUACACACACAAAAUGAAUAUACUAAAUUAUCUCCACUAUUUCUUCUUGCUUUAAGUACUGAAGAAAACAAUCAAACUUUUCUUUCAAACUCUUGUCACAAAAUCAAAUUCCAUUCUCACUCUCUUUAACGUGUCUCUGUGGCAGCACCUACAAAUUUCUCCAUCAAAUUUCUAUUCCAUAUUACUUUCUCCUACCACUAGUGCAAGAGCCUUGUCUAUUUAAUUAAAUCAAGAAGAAUCAGAUAUCAUCUUUUUCACAAUUGAAGAAGAGGGGUCGUGAACAAGUAGGAAGUGGAGAUUUCGGCACCGUUCCGUCGUUUCUUGACCGAUCGUCGCACUGAUAGUUGCUACGCGUAGACCUCGAGGUGAUUUUGAGGAAUUCCCAGAGGAGCAAGCCUUUGAUUGUGAACAAGUGUUAGGAGAUCGUCCUGGAGAAUCUACAGAUGUCUUUGGCGGACUGGUUCACGACGGUUCACCCUUCGGGGGAAACUAGAGUUGGGAUGCUGGAACAGGAGCGCAUCGCGAUAGCGAGCGGAGGACGGAUGGUGUACAUAGACUAGGUCGUUCUGGAUUUCGAAUUCGGACGACGAUCAUGCCAGCAUGUAGGAUUGAGUGUUAGUGUGAGCUCCUCGAGAUGGGAUUAGUGUAGGAGUAGAGUCUUAGCUCUGAACAUUAUUUGUUUCAUUCGGGACAGGGUAGUUUCCCACCUAUAGCUUUUUGUGUGGUUUCUUUACGGGAAUCACAGAGAGUUGGUUGGACUUAGGAGGUCUUGUUUCAGGCCGAUGGGCCAGCUUAUUCUCAGUUUUGAGGGAUAGUGUUGCGGACACUUACCUUUAGAUUUGGUUUGUACAUUUUGCCUUCGGGCGCUACACUUUUCUUUCCGUCACUGGAGGUUACUCGUGACGAGGUUGUUACUUACAGCGGGGGCUGUUUAUAUAUUGUAUAUUAGCUCUAUUACUUUUCGCUUUUGGGUUUUAUUUAAUUCAGUCUUGUCUUAGUUAUUAUCGAAAAAAAAAUAUUUCACGUUUUUCCGCAUUAAGUUUACUUUUGGUUACUAAAGUGACGCCACCGAAAUCGGGGUGUUACAAUCCCAUUAUCUGCCAUGGCGUCAAGGGCGUUAAUUUGAUGGACCAGCAAUUCUCUCCUACUCUUUAAGUGCCCAAAAACAUCUUUGUUCCACUGUUUCAUAUUCAUCCGGAGCCCCUUCAAUUUUUCUUUCAGGACGAAAGCUCCCCAACCUCUGAUACGCAAAUCAGACCACGAUUUUUCAACUACUGCAGGCAGUGAAGAGUUAGACAACCAACAAUUCAACACUCGGAAUGGUUUCGGACCCCAAUCCUCAGUCGAAUGUCACAAUAGUAACGGACAAUGGUCGGAAAUGUCACGGUCCAGAACAAGAUGAGAGCAGUUAGGCCAGAACUCACACCAAUGACUGGAGACCAGAAACCUGUCAAUCUUGCUAGAG